AUUGAACGCUGGCGGCAGGCUUAACACAUGCAAGUCGAGCGAGCGGCGGACAGGUGAGUAAUGUCUGGGAAACUGCCUGAUGGAGGGGGAUAACUACUGGAAACGGUAGCUAAUACCGCAUACCAUCAGAUGUGGCCAGAGGGGAUUAGCUAGUAGGUUGGGGAAUGGCUAACCUGGGCGACGAUCCCUAGCUGGUCUGAGAGGAUGACCAGCCACACUGGAACUGAGGCACGGUCCAGACGCCUACGGGAGGCAGCAGUGGGGAAGAUUGCACAAUGGGCGAAAGCCUGAUGCAGCCAUGCCGCGUGUGUGAAGAAGGCCUUCUGGUUGUAAAGCACUUUCAGCGAGGAGGCGUUACUCGCAGAAGAAGCACCGGCUAACUCCGUGCCAGCCGCCGCGGUAAUAC
rnacentral:rRNA from 1 species